rnacentral:rRNA from 1 species
GAUGAACGCUGGCGGCGUGCCUAAUACAUGCAAGUCGAGCGAACAGACGAGGAGCUUGCUCCUCUGACGUUAGCGGCGGACGGGUGAGUAACACGUGGAUAACCUACCUAUAAGACUGGGAUAACUUCGGGAAACCGGAGCUAAUACCGGAUAAUAUAUUGAACCGCAUUGUUCAAUAGUGAAAGACGGUUUUGCUGUCACUUAUCGAUGGAUCCGGGCGGUAUUAGCUAGUUGUUAAGGUCACGGCUUACCAAGGCGACGAUGCGUAGCCGACCUGAGAGGGGGAUCGGCGACACUGGAACUGGGACACGCUCAAGACUCCUACGGGAGGCAGCAGUAGGGAAUCUGCGGCAAUGGGCGAAAGCAUGACGGAGCAACGCGGCGUGUGUGAUGAAGGUGUUCGGAUCGUAAAGAUGGGUUAUUAGGGAAGAACAAAUGUGUAAGGAGCUAUGCAGGUCGUGACGGUAACGAAUCAGAAAGCCACGGCUAACUACGUG